rnacentral:rRNA from 1 species
GAUGAACGCUGGCGGCGUGCUUAACACAUGCAAGUCGAACGAAGCACCUCUCCCGAAGAUUGACACAGCUUGCUGUAGAUUGAUUCAUUUGAGGUGACUGAGUGGCGGACGGGUGAGUAACGCGUGGGUAACCUGCCUCAUAGAGGGGGACAACAGUUGGAAACGACUGCUAAUACCGCAUAGUAAGAAGAAUUCGCAUGUUUUCUUCUUGAAAGAUUUAUCGCUAUGAGAUGGACCCGCGUCUGAUUAGCUAGUUGGUAAGGUAACGGCUUACCAAGGCGACGAUCAGUAGCCGGCUUGAGAGAGUGAACGGCCACAUUGGGACUGAGACACGGCCCAAACUCCUACGGGAGGCAGCAGUGGGGAAUAUUGCACAAUGGGGGAAACCCUGAUGCAGCGACGCCGCGCGAGUGAAGAAGUAUUUCGGUAUGUAAAGCUCUAUCAGCAGGGAAGAUAAUGACGGUACCUGACUAAGAAGCCCCGGCUAACUACGUG